GCGAGGGUGGCGGAAUUGGCAGACGCGCACGUUUGAGGGGCGUGUGGUUAUACCGUACGGGUUCAAGUCCCGUUCUUCGCACCA
rnacentral:tRNA from 1 species